UUAAAGAAAAGAAAAGAAGAAAAGAAACGAAAUAGGGAACAAAUCAAAUUGUUUCCCCACACCCCCACACUUAAACUAUGCAUAUUGUUCAAUGUAUGCCUUAUAUAUAGAAUGCACAGAAAAANUAUGAGGGAACUUACCUCCUUCAUGGUGGAAGGAAUGCUAGUAGGACUUCAUCGGAAAAGUCAUCCUGGAUCAGAAUGUUAACUCUUCCCUUCUCAAUCCUACUAAGAUGGUCAACUACUAAAUUGUGUGCCCCACUUCUGUCUUGAAUAGGAGACAACUUGUCCUUCUCAUCCUUGACCAUUGUGAUUCCACCUUUCUUUGGGACCACAUGCAUAGGGCCCACCCAAAUGCUGUCAGAAUUGUGGUCUAUAAUACCUCUUUGUAGCAGCUUGGUAUCCCUUUUCUUUACAACCCCC
rnacentral:lncRNA from 1 species